GUGAUGAAAAGGCGGAUUGCUGAGAGGAUGAUGAAGACCUUAGGGGCUGA
rnacentral:snoRNA from 1 species